GACGAACGCUGGCGGCGUGCCUAAUACAUGCAAGUAGAACGCUGAAGGAGGAGCUUGCUCUUCUGGAUGAGUUGCGAACGGGUGAGUAACGCGUAGGUAACCUGCCUGGUAGCGGGGGAUAACUAUUGGAAACGAUAGCUAAUACCGCAUAAUAUUGACUAUUGCAUGAUAGUCAAUUGAAAGGUGCAAAUGCACCACUACCAGAUGGACCUGCGUUGUAUUAGCUAGUUGGUGGGGUAACGGCUCACCAAGGCGACGAUACAUAGCCGACCUGAGAGGGUGAUCGGCCACACUGGGACUGAGACACGGCCCAGACUCCUACGGGAGGCAGCAGUAGGGAAUCUCCGGCAAUGGACGGAAGUCUGACCGAGCAACGCCGCGUGAGUGAAGAAGGUUUUCGGAUCGUAAAGCUCUGUUGUAAGAGAAGAAACGAGUGUGAGAAGUGGAAAG
rnacentral:rRNA from 1 species